rnacentral:rRNA from 1 species
CGUGCCUAAGAAAUGCAAGUCGGGCGAGGCCAUGUAGCUUGCUCCGGAAGCCUAGCGGCGAACGGUCGCGUAACACGUAAGCAAGCUGCCCCAAAGUUUGGGAUAGCCCUCCGAAAGGGGGAUAAUACCGGAUGUGGAUGUUGAUAUGCAUGUAUUAACAUCUAAAGCAUUUAUGCGCUUUGGGAUGGGCUUGCGGCCUAUCAGCUAGUUGGUGAGGUAACGGCUCACCAAGGCGACGACGGGUAGCUGGUCUGAGAGGAUGGUCAGCCGGACUGGGACUGAGACACGGCCCAGACUCCUACGGGGGGCAGCAAUUAGGAAUCUUGCGCAAUGGGCGAAAGCCUGACGCAGCGACGUCGCGUGAACGAUGAAGUCUUUCGGGAUGUAAAGUUCUUUUCUGAGGGAAGAAGGAUGUGACGGUACCUCAGGAAUAAGCCCCGGCUAACUACGUGCCAGCAGCCGCGGUAAUACGUAGGGGGCGAGCGUUGUCCGAAUUUACUGGGCGUAAAGCGCGCGUAGGCGGACUCUUAAGUUGGUGGUGAAAUGCCGAGGCUCAACCUCGGAACUGCCUUCAAAACUGGGAGUCUUGAGGCUUGGAGAGGGAAGUGGAAUUCCUGGUGUAGCGGUGAAAUGCGUAGAUAUCAGGAGGAACACCGAUGGCGAAGGCAGCUUCCUGGCCA